UACGUAGGGUGCAAGCGUUAUCCGGAAUUAUUGGGCGUAAAGAGCUCGUAGGCGGUUUGUCGCGUCUGCUGUGAAAACCCGAGGCUCAACCUCGGGCCUGCAGUGGGUACGGGCAGACUAGAGUGCGGUAGGGGAGACUGGAAUUCCUGGUGUAGCGGUGAAAUGCGCAGAUAUCAGGAGGAACACCGGUGGCGAAGGCGGGUCUCUGGGCAGUAACUGACGCUGAGGAGCGAAAGCGUGGGGAGCGAACAGG
rnacentral:rRNA from 1 species